rnacentral:rRNA from 1 species
CUUGAGACCCCAAUGCAUGCCUCCCCGGCGCCAUGGCGGCCGCGGGAUUCGAUUGAGUUUGAUUCUGGCUCAGAACGAACGCUGGCGGCAGGCUUAACACAUGCAAGUCGAACGCCCUAGCAAUAGGGAGUGGCGCACGGGUGAAAAACGCGUGGGGAUCUGCCCUUCUGUUCGGAAUAACACCGGGAAACUGGUGCUAAUACCGGAUACACCAACGAACUUUGGUCGUUUGUUGGGAAAGAUUUAUCGCAGAAGGAUGAACCCGCGUAUGAUUAGCUAGUUGGUGAGGUAACGGCUCACCAAGGCGACGAUCAUUAGCUGGUCUGAGAGGACGAUCAGCCACACUGGAACUGAGACACGGUCCAGACUCCUACGGGAGGCAGCAGUGGGGAAUAUUGGACAAUGGGGGAAACCCUGAUCCAGCCAUGCCGCGUGAGUGAUGAAGGCCCUCGGGUUGUAAAGCUCUUUUGGGUGGGACGAUAAUGACGGUACCACCAGAAUAAGAUCCGGCUAACUUCGUGCCAGCAGCCGCGGUAAUACGAAGGGAUCUAGCGUUGUUCGGAUUUACUGGGCGUAAAGGGCGCGUAGGCGGUUUAGCAAGUCAGAUGUGAAAGCCCCGGGCUUAACCCGGGAAUUGCAUUUGAAACUGCUAGGCUUGA